rnacentral:tRNA from 1 species
CAAAUUGGAGCUUGUUUAAGCGUCUUAUUUACACUAAGAAGUUUGGUUGAUAAUUCAAUCUAAUUUGA